rnacentral:ncRNA from 1 species
GGACAAAUGUUCAAAAUAGCAGCCUUAUUGAGAAAUCAAUAUUGCAAACAAGGUGAAUUGCUGGAACCCCUAUUGCGCAAGCAAGGGCAAUCAGCAGCCAAGCUUUCAGAUAACAUCUGAAUGAAGGUUCAGAGACUAUCCUUAACAGGAGUAGGAAGUGAAAACUUUCGAAGCGCCUUGCACCGUCUACACAGCAAUGUGUCCGGUGAUGAUAUAGUCCACGCCAUACAGUAACGUAUGA